rnacentral:rRNA from 1 species
GAUGAACGCUGGCGGCGUGCUUAACACAUGCAAGUCGAACGAAGCGAUAGAAACGGAACAUUUCGGUGGGAAGUAUUUAUUGACUGAGUGGCGGACGGGUGAGUAACGCGUGGAUAACCUGCCUCAUACAGGGGGAUAACAGUUAGAAAUGACUGCUAAUACCGCAUAAGCGCACAGGACCGCAUGGUCUGGUGUGAAAAACUCCGGUGGUAUGAGAUGGAUCCGCGUCUGAUUAGCUAGUUGGAGGGGUAACGGCCCACCAAGGCAACGAUCAGUAGCCGGCCUGAGAGGGCGACCGGCCACAUUGGGACUGAGACACGGCCCAAACUCCUACGGGAGGCAGCAGUGAGGAAUAUUGGUCAAUGGGCGAGAGCCUGAACCAGCCAAGUAGCGUGAAGGAUGACUGCCCUAUGGGUUGUAAACUUCUUUUAUAUGGGAAUAAAUGACAUUACGUGUAGUGUUUUGUAUGUACCAUUAUGAAUAAGCAUCGGCUAACUCCGUGCCAGCAGCCGCCGUAACAC